rnacentral:rRNA from 1 species
UACGGGGGGGGCAAGCGUUGUUCGGAAUUAUUGGGCGUAAAGCGCGUGUAGGCGGCUUUGCAAGUCGGGUGUGAAAGCCCUCGGCUCAACCGAGGAAGUGCGCCCGAAACUGCAGAGCUUGAGUACCGGAGAGGAUGGCGGAAUUCCCCAAGUAGAGGUGAAAUUCGUAGAUAUGGGGAGGAACACCGGUGGCGAAGGCGGCCAUCUGGACGGAUACUGACGCUGAGACGCGAAAGCGUGGGUAGCAAACAGG